rnacentral:sRNA from 1 species
UUUAUAGAAACAGUCGUCGGUAAGACGGGC